UUUGUGUUUUUUCUUGUUUU
rnacentral:miRNA from 1 species